UAGGGAAUCUUCCGCAAUGGGCGAAAGCCUGACGGAGCAACGCCGCGUGAGUGAUGAAGGUCUUCGGAUCGUAAAACUCUGUUAUUAGGGAAGAACAAAUGUGUAAGUAACUAUGCACGUCUUGACGGUACCUAAUCAGAAAGCCACGGCUAACUACGUGCCAGCAGCCGCGGUAAUACGUAGGUGGCAAGCGUUAUCCGGAAUUAUUGGGCGUAAAGCGCGCGUAGGCGGUUUUUUAAGUCUGAUGUGAAAGUCCACGGCUCAACCGUGGAGGGUCAUUGGAAACUGGAAAACUUGAGUGCAGAAGAGGAAAGUGGAAUUCCAUGUGUAGCGUUGAAAUGCGCAGAGAUAUGGAGGAACACCAGUGGCGAAGGCGACUUUCUGGUCUGUAACUGACGCUGAUGUGCGAAAGCGUGGGGAUCAAACAGG
rnacentral:rRNA from 1 species